rnacentral:rRNA from 1 species
GUGCCAGCAGCCGCGGUAAUACGUACUGGGCGAACGUUAUUCGGAAUCACUGGGCUUAAAGGGUGCGUAGGCGGUUCGGCAAGUCAGAUGUGAAAUCCCCCGGCCCAACCGGGGAACUGCGUUUGAAACUGCCGGACUUGAGUGCGAUAGGGGUGUGCGGAACUUCCAGUGGAGCGGUGAAAUGUGUUGAUAUUGGAAGGAACGCCGGUGGCGAAAGCGGCACACUGGGUCGUAACUGACGCUGAGGCACGAAAGCCAGGGGAGCGAACGGGAUUAGAUACCCCGGUAGUCCUGGCUGUAAACGAUGGGCACUAGACGGGAGGCGCUUCGGCGCAUCCAGUCGCAGCGAAAGCACUAAGUGCCCCGCCUGGGGAGUAUGGUCGCAAGGCUGAAACUCAAAUGAAUUGACGGGG